UUUUGUAAGCGGUAAUAGCCACGCCCAUUUCGUGGAGUUUGUUGUAGAUUUGAUGCUCUGCCAAACCAUCAACAUUCCACUCGGUUAUGCCUCGACCAUCAUGGUUAGAGGUAGAGAGGAAGGGAUUUUCUUCAAACUGAACGUCUGGAGGAGAAGGUUUUUUGUAAUAGUUUUUCCUAGUAGAAAAACGAUCACUGGUAAGCUUAGAAAGAGAGUUUUUUGAGUUGCUAGACUCAGCUUUCUCAGAGAUUUUGAACUUAGAAAGUUUGUCAUUGAUUUGUUCUAAGAUUUUACCUGAAACCUUAAAAUCGUCGCUGAGAUUAGGAAAUUUCUCCUUUUGGAAUUCAGGAAUCUUGAAGGUGGGGUUGGUUAUAGGAUUGGGGAUUGAAGUCCCUUUCUCCGGGGCUGGAGGACUAAAAGGAAGAACAGAAUGUUUUGUAUCUCCUAUUUGCUGGGAGAUUGUG
rnacentral:lncRNA from 1 species